UACAGAGGGUGCAAGCGUUAAUCGGAAUUACUGGGCGUAAAGCGCGCGUAGGUGGUUCGUUAAGUUGGAUGUGAAAGCCCCGGGCUCAACCUGGGAACUGCAUUCAAAACUGGCGAGCUAGAGUAUGGUAGAGGGUGGUGGAAUUUCCUGUGUAGCGGUGAAAUGCGUAGAUAUAGGAAGGAACACCAGUGGCGAAGGCGACCGCCCGGACUGAUACUGACACUGAGGUGCGAAAGCGUGGGGAGCAAACAGG
rnacentral:rRNA from 1 species